AUGGCUGCAGUGUGUCAGUGUGGUGGUAUGUGUGUGGGGCUGACUGAGCCUGUCCCUGUGCUCCUUCUCUCCAGAGUCCUCCGCAUCCUCCUCCUCCUUUCUCACCCCGAGCAUCUUCCUUGUCUGCUGGACACCUGUGCCAAGGAACCUACCUCAAUCCAGCUCACCAACGCCUUUGAUCCUGCUUUCAUACUUCUCUGUCUCUCAGAAAAAUUAAGAGCCUUACGGAGGGGGCAAGCGUUUUCCCUCUCAAAGCCUCCCGCAGCCCUCACUGCUCCCUGUCAGCACUGCUUGAAGUCAAUCACCAGGAAAAACUCCAACUCAGGUGAGCAACUUUCAAUGAUUCUAACACCACCAAGCCUCAGGUGCUCCUUCACAGCCUCUUAUUUUAGGCCACCUGGCUUUAGGUUAAGAUUAACCCCUCAGGGGUACAUGAAAGGACCGAGGGAUGCUGAUGGGUGUGAAAAGAGGAAGUUUCCAGAGAUCCCUUAAGAGACCCGUCAUAGGUUUGAAGACAGGUUUGAAGUUCUGUAGUUUGAUAUAUGUGACAAAUUCCAACUAAAGAACACCUGAGGCAUUUCAGUGUUCUCUUGAGUAGAGUUAAAGGGCAGGAUUCAAGUUAGUUAUAUUUUAGUUAUUUUUCAUAGUCAUUAAAUAACAUGAAUAUAACUUGUUUUACUACGCUUUUAAAAACAUUGUCAUCUCUGAGUUUCCAUUGUGCCUCAGUGGGUUAAGAACAGGACAUAGUAUCCAUGAGGAUGCAGGUUCAAUCCCUGACCUCACACAGUGGGUUAAGCAUCUGGUAUUGCUGCAAGCUGCAAUAUACAUUGCAAAUGCAUCUUGGAUGCAGCGUUGCUGUGGCUGUGGCCAAGCUAGCAGCUGCAGCUUGCAUUCAGCCCGUAG
rnacentral:lncRNA from 1 species